rnacentral:tRNA from 1 species
GCAGAUGUGGCAGAAUGGAAUGAUUCUUACCUGCAAAGUCAGAGAACUUGGGUUCAAAUCCCAAUCCCAGCU